rnacentral:rRNA from 1 species
GACGAACGCUGGCGGCGUGCUUAACACAUGCAAGUCGAACGAAGAGCGAUGGAAGCUUGCUUCUAUCACUCUUAGUGGCGAACGGGUGAGUAACGCGUAAUCAACCUGCCCUUCAGAGGGGGACAACAGUUGGAAACGACUGCUAAUACCGCAUACGAUCUGACCUCGGCAUCGAGGAUAGAUGAAAGGUGGCCUCUACAUGUAAGCUAUCACUGAAGGAGGGGAUUGCGUCUGAUUAGCUAGUUGGAGGGGUAACGGCCCACAAAGGCGAUGAUCAGUAGCCGGUCUGGAAGGAUGAACGGCCCCAUUGGGACUGAGACACGGCCCAGACUCCUACGGGAGGCAGCAGUGGGGAAUCUUCCGCAAUGGACGAAAGUCUGACGGAGCAACGCCGCGUGAGUGAUGACGGCCUUCGGGUUGUAAAGCUCUGUUAAUCGGGACGAAAGGCCUUUUUGCGAAUAGUGAGAAGGAUUGACGGUACCGGAAUAGAAAGCCACGGCUAACUACGUG